rnacentral:misc_RNA from 1 species
GAUGAAGAACGUAGCAAAAUGCGAUAAGUAAUGUGAAUUGCAGAAUUCAGUGAAUCAUCGAAUCUUUGAACGCACAUUGCGCCCGCCAGUAUUCUGGCGGGCAUGCCUGUUCGAGCGUCAUUUCAACCCUCAAGCACAGCUUGGUGUUGGGACUCGCGUUAAUUCGCGUUCCUCAAAUUGAUUGGCGGUCACGUCGAGCUUCCAUAGCGUAGUAGAAAAACCCUCGUUACUGGUAAUCGUCGCGGCCACGCCGUUAAACCCCAACUUCUGAAUGUUGACCUCGGAUCAGGUAGGAAUACCCGCUGAACUUAAGCAUAUCAAUAAGCGGAGGA